rnacentral:rRNA from 1 species
GCCUAAUACAUGCAAGUCGAGCGAACGGACGAGAAGCUUGCUUCUCUGAUGUUAGCGGCGGACGGGUGAGUAACACGUGGAUAACCUACCUAUAAGACUGGGAUAACUUCGGGAAACCGGAGCUAAUACCGGAUAAUAUUUUGAACCGCAUGGUUCAAAAGUGAAAGACGGUCUUGCUGUCACUUAUAGAUGGAUCCGCGCUGCAUUAGCUAGUUGGUAAGGUAACGGCUUACCAAGGCAACGAUGCAUAGCCGACCUGAGAGGGUGAUCGGCCACACUGGAACUGAGACACGGUCCAGACUCCUACGGGAGGCAGCAGUAGGGAAUCUUCCGCAAUGGGCGAAAGCCUGACGGAGCAACGCCGCGUGAGUGAUGAAGGUCUUCGGAUCGUAAAACUCUGUUAUUAGGGAAGAACAUAUGUGUAAGUAACUGUGCACAUCUUGACGGUACCUAAUCAGAAAGCCACGGCUAACUACGUGCCAGCAGCCGCGGUAAUACGUAGGUGGCAAGCGUUAUCCGGAAUUAUUGGGCGUAAAGCGCGCGUAGGCGGUUUUUUAAGUCUGAUGUGAAAGCCCACGGCUCAACCGUGGAGGGUCAUUGGAAACUGGAAAACUUGAGUGCAGAAGAGGAAAGUGGAAUUCCAUGUGUAGCGGUGAAAUGCGCAGAGAUAUGGAGGAACACCAGUGGCGAAGGCGACUUUCUGGUCUGUAACUGACGCUGAUGUGCGAAA